rnacentral:rRNA from 2 species
AGUCGAGCGAAUGGAUUAAGAGCUUAGCUCUUAUGAAGUUAGCGGCGGACGGGUGAGUAACACGUGGGUAACCUGCCCAUAAGACUGGGAUAACUCCGGGAAACCGGGGCUAAUACCGGAUAACAUUUUGAACCGCAGGUUCGAAAUUGAAAGGCGGCUUCGGCUGUCACUUAUGGAUGGACCCGCGUCGCAUAGCUAGUUGGUGAGGUAACGGCUCACCAAGGCAACGAUGCGUAGCCGACCUGAGAGGGUGAUCGGCCACACUGGGACUGAGACACGGCCCAGACUCCUACGGGAGGCAGCAGUAGGGAAUCUUCCGCAAUGGACGAAAGUCUGACGGAGCAACGCCGCGUGAGUGAUGAAGGCUUUCGGGUCGUAAAACUCUGUUGUUAGGGAAGAACAAGUGCUAGUUGAAUAAGCUGGCACCUUGACGGUACCUAACCAGAAAGCCACGGCUAACUACGUGCCAGCAGCCGCGGUAAUACGUAGGUGGCAAGCGUUAUCCGGAAUUAUUGGGCGUAAAGCGCGCGCAGGUGGUUUCUUAAGUCUGAUGUGAAAGCCCACGGCUCAACCGUGGAGGGUCAUUGGAAACUGGGAGACUUGAGUGCAGAAGAGGAAAGUGGAAUUCUAUGUGUAGCGGUGAGAUGCGUAUAGAUAUGGAGGAACACCCGUGGCGAAGGCGACUUUUUCGUGUGUGACUGUCACUGUUGG